GUGUAUGCGGGAACUGGGUUGACCCUGCCUGCUCCACAGCAAUGUUGUUACUUACGUCCAGAGAAGACAAUGAACGUUGGAAGAUCCGA
rnacentral:lncRNA from 1 species